rnacentral:lncRNA from 1 species
UGGCGGAGGAUUUGGAUAAUUGAACGGACGUUCCCUACAAGUUGAUUGCAAAAAUUACUUCAAUUGAAAUAAUAAAGCGAUCAUCAGAGAUGCAUGCCCAGUAAUGUUGACCGUCUAUCUUGACAUUGCCGAUGCAGAUUUCUUUGUUAAUGCUCUCUGGCUGUGCCGCCAGUCGACAGCAGAAGUGGCCAAAAAGCGGUAAAGAGUGAUACUUGUUAUCUGCAAAAUGAAUGUGUUAUGUCCGCCGGUGUGCGAUACAAACGUGAUAAAUGGAAAUUCCGCUUCGAGACAAGCAACAAACUUCGCAAAAGCGUAAAUAAAUCGGCGCGGCUCUCACAACACUGGUGGCAGAAGGCAGAAUCGGACUGAAAUAACGACUCUUCGGGGAAGUGGACGAGUGCACGAGGGGGUAACGUUCACCUCGACAAAUUGGUUCGCUUACGCUCCUCCUUCCACCCUCGGGAAACCACGCUAACAUCGCAGAAUAUCGAUCCGUAGCUUUAUAGCCGGCACGCACGAGAUCGCAUCUAUCCCUACGAAACGCAUUCAGAAAAAUCAUUUAUCGCACUUAACGGAUGUCCAUUAAUUUCCGCAUUAUCCCAAUGAAGCGUACAAUCCGAAAAUAACGGACACAUCAGCAAAAUCAAUAAUGAAGAUGAAUCAUAGCACGCAUUGAGCAAUUUCGUAUUCCGUUAACGUUAGCGUGACACAUCCUUACUCGGCGCACGGUCGCGGUCUAUCAGGAAUAUAUCAUAGAUCGUGCACUUCUGCCGUCGGCCUCGAAUAGGAAUUUUGCAACGACGCAAGGGUCCACAUUUAAUCCCUGACCUCGGACGCCAGUGCUGUAACGAGUCUUGAUGAAACUCGUUGAUGCGCGCUGUAUGACAAACGAGUUCACGUAAGUACGAUGUAACAAUUCGCUCGACUAGAGCCUCGUAUAUUGCCCCGGCUUUGCCUUCACGCACACGCCGGGAGACACGUCGCAUACAAUUAUUAAUGCGAUGCGAUAUUAAUGUUAAGAAAGUUCUACAUGUAUCAAAACGAUUCUCUCUUGCUCCGCUUGCACUUUAUCUUCCUUCUGCGACCCCGUCGCCUCAUUGUCCUUCGUUCCUACGCAUUCCCUCUCAAUAUUACUUUCUCUCGCGUUGCCAACACUUUCCCGACAGCUUGUCUGCCGAAAAUAGUCGCCAGAAAUCCAAUACCCCGUGCAGUUGUGCCCGUAAUGGUCACCGCAGGCGUGCGACACGCGACGACGCACGCUUUGCAUCUUCCUUUCUCGCGUAAAAUCUCCGCGGUAAGCAACACUCCGUGUAUGAUAUUUGCAACAAGUGCCUCGAGGUAUAGAAAGCAAUUGACAUUAAAUCGCUGCAUUGAAACGUAAUGAUGAAAAUAAAAAUAAAAUAUACAAAUAACAGAAAAUAUUUAAUAAAUAUUAUAUAUCGCGAUACAUUAGUAGAGUUUUCACACAAAUUGUUAAACAACGAUUUUGUCAAACAUAUAGCAAUUUUGAGAUCAACAGCGUUGAAACGCUGUUGAGAUUUCAAAUUCAUUUGACAUUGCCAUUCGUAUGUCCAACCGACGCAAUAUCACACACGACGUCUAAAAAUACAACUCACGAGGAAAUGUUGGCUUCCGUGAAACGCGCUACGCAACAUCACACCAUUUGCGUCCAAUAAUUCAACUCAUCUUUACACAAAUUUGUACAUACAAAAUCUUUCAGCAAUCGUCAAACGAUAUAUCGAUUUGCGAUGUUCGUAUAAAAAAAAAAAUACAUUUCAAAUGUUCUCGUGCAAUAUUUAACGUGACGGAUGAUAAACAAUAUUAAUAAAGUCGUUGAAUCGUAAUCGCGUACGAA